rnacentral:rRNA from 1 species
AGGAUGAACGCUGGCGGCGUGCUUAACACAUGCAAGUCGAACGGUGAACUUGGGAGCUUGCUCCUGGGGGAUCAGUGGCGAACGGGUGAGUAACACGUGAGUAACCUGCCCUUGACUCUGGGAUAAGCGUUGGAAACGACGUCUAAUACCGGAUACGAGCUUCAGCCGCAUGGCUAGGAGCUGGAAAGAUUUCGGUACAAGGAUGGACUCGCGGCCUAUCAGCUAGUUGGUGAGGUAACGCCCACAGGCGACGACGGUAGCCGGCCUGAGAGGGUGACCGGCCACACGUGGACUGAGACACGGACCCAGACUCCGACGGAGCGAGCGAGGUGGGAAUAGUUGCAC